rnacentral:lncRNA from 1 species
UGUUGGAGUGCUUUUAUGCUGAAUGUUGCUUCCUGCUUCUACAGCUUUGUAGUUCAAUUACUUGACUCCGGUUGCUUUGCACACUGGUCACCUUGAAGCAAAGUGGUGGAGGCACUCUCAAGCAUGCUGUGAUGGAAGACCUAUUUCUGUCAUCUGAUCUAAAUCUGAAUUCAAUCAUGAAUUAAGUACUUGAAUUAGGAGUUUCCACACCACCCAGUACAGGAGUGUCUCACAACCAAAUCUGAGUCCCCGCCUGGUUUCCCACGGAGUAAAGCUUGACAGAGGAAGUUUGGCAGAAGAAAAGAUAAAUCAUCUAGUUAACCUCUUAGGGACAGAAAAACUUCAAAGGUUGCUUGGUGUGGAAAAAAGGAGUUGUGUUUAAAGAACCAGACUGACACAAAAGAACAAGAAGUGUUUCCUGCGUGUACUACAGCUGGCUUUCCCUUGCAGCUCCAGCAAGUAUUUUGAGAUGCUUCAUGCAUCUGUUUUCCCUAUCUAUAAAACCAGCCAAUAGUUCCCAGUUUGCUGAAUCCAAGUUGCAGAAUGAUUGUCAAAAUGUUAUGUUACUCCAGCUUUCUGCUACUCUGAAUGCUGUUAUGAGCAGUUUUCCACUGUCUGGAUAUUGGUGUUGACAGUUUCAUUCUGGAGAUGACAUGUACAACAAGUCCUCAGUGUGCCAGAUCCUCCAUCUAGAGGAGAUCUCUGCUCUGAAGAAAGACUGCAAAUCUUCAUCUCAAAAUGUGCAAGAGAUUUUACAGAUGUCAUCUUGAGGUUGUUCACUGGCAUCCAAGGAUGUGGUUUGUUUCUAACAUCAAGCAGGUGAGGGAACUUGGAUCAUUUUUUCUGGGAUUUUCUGUUUCACUGAAGUUGAAGACAUUCCUCUUAUUUAAACCAGUUUAACUUCACUGAAAUGCUGGAUCAAUCCACAGGUAGGGAUCCAUAGAACCAUGGUUGCAGUUGGACUUGAUGAUCUUUAAGGUCUUUUCCAACCUGAGCAAU